rnacentral:misc_RNA from 1 species
GGAACUUCCAAAAUGGAUGAAUAUGUCAAGCCACCUAUUAUUUACCACUUAAUUGUACAAAAAUUCACUUUCAAAAAGAAAUUGUACAAAAAUUCAACUGUUAGUCAAUGCCUAAGUUUUCAGAUCACAAAAAUUACAGACUCUUGCAAAUGUUUAACGUUUUUGUUCAUUCCAUGUCUUACCCUCAAAAAAUUCAUUCAGCAUACGAUCGAGAUCCUCAGGAGAGUAUCUGAUGUACUUAAGAGGGUUUUUCCCAUUCUCAAUCAUAGGCCCAAAGCGUUUCAAGAAAGAUCUGUAAGCAGGCAAGAGGACUUCAGCAACAGCAAGCCUCAAAGACUCGCGCAAUUCACUGUCAGGAACAGUCCACUGAGACUGCCUCUGAUGAAGCUCCUCAAAUUGCACAUUGAAGGUCUUGAACCUAUCUUUAACCAUUGCUCUUGAAAGUCCACUGGAACCACCAUCACCUCCAGGACCACUCUGAACAGUGAGGCACUGCAGAAUCUUUGCCCAAGAAACCCUCUUAUACUGGUUAGCAUGCUGCUGUACAAUCCUUCGGUGGAUCUGCACCCAGUCAUCUCCCAACAAGUCCUUUGCUUCUGACCUCCGCACAGAUCUCACUAUAUAGUGAAUGUUGUUCAUAAGAAAUAACUGAGUCAGUGCAGAAUCUUUAUACUGCUUGGAUUUCCCAUCUAAGUUAUUCUGAAGAGCAUGCAUAAUCCUUGUAGUUACAGAUGCUAACUGAGCUUCUGGAUCACUUGCAUCAAACUCUUGAAAAAGUUGCUUCAAUGUUGAUUGGUAAUCGAACAGGAACUUCACAUAAUUUAUCACAUAGCUAGUCAAAGGAUGAACAGUUCCAUCAAGAACAGCAGUUUUCGUAGCAUCUUUUUCAACCGCUUCUUCAAAAUCACCAAAUGUCUCUUGUGCUGUCUGAGCAAGCCGCUUUGUCAAAUUCAUUGCAGCUUCCCUCAUUUCAGUGCAAGCUUUACUGCCAAAUAGUAAUUCAAUCUCAGAGUGAAGUUCCCUCAUUAUCUCAUACAUGUCUAACAGAACGAAUAAUUUCUCAGGUGAUCUCUUGCUUUUGGCUAUAGCCUCUCCAAAACUAAGAAGCACAGCUACACUGUUUACUGUGACUUCAGCAAAACAUUGAUCCCUAAGAGAGUCAACACCAUCGAGAAUUUGAUCACAAAUUUUCUUUUCCCCAGCAAAAAGCAAUUUGACGGCAAUCCGCAUGUAAUGUAUCCAAUUUCCAAUCUUGGCCUCCAGAACUUCCCACUGCAUUUUCUGGACAUCAUCUUUGCUGAGUCUUUCAACACCUAAUUUCCUGAGGCUUUCUUCCAGAACUGAAGCACGGAUAUCCCUGUAGAUUCUAAAUAGCUGUUGUUGAUGGCCAGCUUUAACCAUCUGUUGUGAUAAAUCAUGUAGUAGUGGUAGAACCCUUGGGGGAAUAAGAGUUGGAACUGUGUAAAUGGCAGCUUCCAAGCUCUUGUUUUGGUGCUCAGAAGAACUCUUCCCACUAGCAUCACCUUGGUGCCUAGGUGAUCCUGAUGAUGGUCGUAGAGAGUUGGGAAGGCAUUCAAAGAGACGAUCAGGUUCCACAGGCUUGCUGUAGUUUCAGAAGAAACGUAAUUUAUUUAAGGGCCUCAUCUAGUCACACUGUUAUUAAGCCAGAUAACACAUCUUUGACAAUCUGUCUAUCCCUCAGACAUAAGGCAUAAAGUCAAAGAAAAUAAGUGCUCUUGCUUCAUCUUAAUGCUAAAAAGAAUCGAUUCCACUCUGAGAAACUCGAUAGUUUUCCUACCAUUUUCCCUGUGCUUCAUUAGUUCCACAAAAAGGCUGAAUCAAGGAGUCGAAAGUCAUCUACCAGACAAAGAUUACUUAUUUCUGGUCAUAAUUAAUUUCACUCUACAGGACAGUUCAGGGAACUUUGAAGUUGGAAAGAAGUAAUUGUAAAAAUCCUUAUCAAAUGGACUAGGACAUGAUAUCAGUAAGUAAAAUUAUAAAGUACAUUUUAACAUCAAGAUAAAUUCAUUUGCAACCGACCUUGGCAUGUCCCUCUCAUGCCUAUCAAAGAGUAUCUCAGCUAAGUCAGACAACUCCAAACUUUUAGUACAUAUAAUAAUAAAAUGAAGUACUUAAAAAUGAUGUUUCUGACAUUCCAGUUCGUCAGUGUCUGCUCUUUAGAUGUUAAACACACAAGGGGGAAAAGAAAAGGUUCAAAUUUAUUGAUGCUUGUAGCACAAUUCCGCUCUUUUCAGGUUAAACACACAAGGCAGAGAAAAAAGGAGUUCAAAUUAAUUCAUUGUUGUAGCGGAAAUCAUUUUUUUAUCAUCAACAUGUGUUCUAUUACUCUUAGAAGGAUGGAAAACUGUCCUGCUUUUGAAAAUUCAAGCAGAACUUGUGAGAAUCCCCAGAAAUUUUAACUAACAAAUUGACUACGAUAAAAAAUAACCUGAAAACUGAAUCUAUAUAUAUAUAUAUAUAUAU